AGCGGUCUCUGAAAUCCUUGAAAGUCUUUAAAUUUGAAUGCAGGUCUUUAAGGUCUUUGAAAAGUCUUUGAAUUGUGUGAAAAAGCGAAGAAAGUCUUUAAAAGUCUUUAAAUUCUUUAGUGAGUAUUUGAUUAUACGAUUUCCUAGCUAAUAAAAUAGAUUGAUUGAAGCAAGAUUUUCGCAAACUCGACGAAAAGGCGCAUUUUAGGAUGUGAAUUGACGGGACUAAUCAGUAUUGGGUAAAAAUGUUGCUUUCCGAC